rnacentral:rRNA from 1 species
AUGGACGGCGACCGGAUCCGUGCGCGCCGGUGGGCGGACGAGGACGAGGAUUUGCGGCCACUGAAGGUGGUGUUCGCGUCGCCGGCGGAGCACUUCACGGACUCGGCACCCAUCGGGAACGGCAGCCUCGGUGCCAUGGUUUGGGGCGGCGUCGCCUCCGAGAAGCUCCAGCUCAACCUUGACACUCUCUGGAGCGGUGUGCCGGGAGAUUACACCGCCCCGAAAGCACCUGCUGCCCUCGCCGUCGUCAGGAAGCUCGUCGACGACGGACGGUUCGUGGAUGCCACCAGUGCGGCUUCGGGCCUUUUCGGUGCUCAAACAGAGGUCUACAAACCUCUUGGAGAUAUGAAUCUAGAGUUUGACACAUCCAAUCAGGAGUAUAGUUCCUACAAAAGGGAGCUUGAUCUGCAUACUGCUACAACAAUUAUCACGUACAACAUUGGAGAAGUUCAGUACACAAGGGAGCACUUCUGCUCAAAUCCACACCAGGUCAUUGUUACCAAGAUUUCAGCAAACAAACCAGAACAUGUAUCAUUGACUUUAUCGUUAAAUAGUAAGUUAAACCACAGAGUUCGUGUAAUGAAUGCAAAUGAGAUGAUUAUGGAUGGCACCUGUCCAGCACAAGGACACAAGCUACAAGAAAAUGAAGCCAGCGAUGCUACUGGUAUCGGGUUUGCAGCUGUCCUUAGCCUGCAGAUGAGCGGCACUGCUGCAAAAGUAGCAGUUCUAAAUGAUCAGAGUUUGAGAGUUGACAAUGCAGAUUGGGUGCUUUUGCGGGUUACAGCUGCUUCCUCAUUCAGUGGGCCUCUCGUGAAUCCGUCAGACUCAAAACUGGAUCCUGAAUCAGCAGCUCUGAGGGCCAUGAAUAUGACUAUAGAAAAAAUAAACAUGAAAGAAGUUGGUGAAGCCAUCAAGACUACAGAAGAAAGAGUGAAUGGUUUUCGAAGCGACGAGGAUUCUUCUUUGGUUGAACUUCUCUUCCAAUAUGGUCGAUAUCUGCUCAUUUCAUGCUCUCGACCUGGAACACAGAUAUCUAAUCUGCAAGGAAUUUGGAAUCAAGAUCUCGUGCCUGGAUGGGACUGUGCUCCGCACCUCAACAUAAAUCUUCAGAUGAAUUAUUGGCCAACACUUCCUUGCAACCUUACUGAAUGCGAAGAACCACUGCUUGAUUUCAUAGCAGCUCUUGCAGUUAACGGAACUAAGACUGCAAAAAUCAAUUACCAAGCAAGUGGCUGGGUAACUCACCACGUCUCAGACAUAUGGGCAAAAUCAUCAGCUUACAAUGAAGAUGCCAAGUUCUCAGUGUGGCCAAUGGGGGGUGCCUGGCUUUGUACGCAUCUUUGGGAGCACUACCAGUAUUUAUUGGACAAAGACUUUUUGAAGAACACUGCAUAUCCAUUGUUGGAAGGAUGUGCGCAGUUUCUGACUGAUUGGUUGAUUGAGGGACCUCGAGGUCUUUUGGAAACAAACCCCUCUACUUCUCCCGAGCAUGUUUUCAUUGCUCCAGGCACUGGUGGUCAGCAAGCUAGUGUAAGCUAUUCAACUACAAUGGAUAUUGCAAUCAUCCGAGAGAUAUUUUCGGCAGUCAUUUCUUCUGCAGAGAUUUUAGGAAAAUCUGAUACUCCUCUGGUCCAGAAGAUCAAGGAAGCGCUUCCAAGGCUCCCUCAGAAUACGAUUGCUGAAGAUCAAACACUCAUGGAAUGGGCACAAGAUUUUAAGGACGCUGAAGUUACCCAUCGGCACCUGUCACAUCUCUUCGGUCUUUAUCCUGGUCAUACUAUAACUAUGCAGAGAAAUCCUGAGAUUUGCGAAGCUAUUUCUAAUAGUCUUCACAAACGAGGGGAAGAUGGCCCUGGAUGGUCAAGCACGUGGAAGAUGGCUUUGUGGGCGCGCCUUCUUAACAGCGAAAAUGCAUACAGAAUGAUCCUGAAGUUAAUCACGUUGGCUCCACCUGGUAAAAAAGUUGGGUUCGAAGGAGGACUGUACACCAAUCUGUGGACAGCACACCCACCAUUCCAGAUCGAUGGAAACUUUGGAUUCUCAGCUGCGAUCGCUGAAAUGCUGCUUCAGAGCACUCCCACUGACCUGCAUCUACUGCCCGCGCUUCCAAGCGACAAGUGGCCUGAAGGGUGUGUCAAAGGGCUGAGGGCCCGGGGUGACACCACUGUCAGCAUCUUCUGGGAGAAAGGGGAGCUCCAGGAAGCAGUGCUGUGGUUUAACAACAGAGAUAAUUCAGUUUUACGGCUGCAUUAUGGCGGUCAAGUUGCUGAAGCCACAGUGGAAGCUGAUAACGUUUACAGGUUCAAUGGGAUUUUACAGUGUGUCGAGACAUGCCCCCUUGACAAAUGCGCAUUUUAG